AUUUUGUAAGAAUUCUUUCCAUUUCUUUUCUAUUUUAAAGCAAUUUAUAAUCUGUAUUUCUGAACACCGAGUUGAUACUCUUAAAAACAAUACCAACAAACCCAUAAGUCUAAUUGUAACAUCUUUAUGAUUCACGAAUGAACUUUGCUGCUUAAUUCUGUUUCGGUAAAUGGCAAUUCUUCACCUGCUGAGUAAGCAAAUACCUAGGCUGGUGCAGUUUUAAAAACAUUCAGAGUUAACUUAGUCUUUUGGGAUUGAGUUUGUAGCAAUGCCAAAUUGCUUUGAAUUUGGUCUUCCCUUCCCACUUGGUAACGUAUCACUCUCCUACUCGAAAAAUCUAGCUUAGAAAUAGGCGUUGUAAUGUUACCGGGGGAUGAAGGAGGUCAACAGGUUUGUGGUGGAGAAUGGGAAGACAGGGAAUCAAGCAGCUUUGUAUUCUCAGCCCUAAAUAACUAACUGUACCCCAAGUCCUGUUCUGUUCUGUUCUGUUUUGGCCCAUGGGAAAGAAAAAUAGAAGAGAGGAGAGAGCAGUGUCAUGGCAACAGGAAGCCCAGGGAAAGAGAAGUGGCAGCAACUGAGAGGGCCCGGGCAACACUGACAGAGGGCCUGACCACUGCCGAUAGCACUGGCCACGUUUGCCUGUGAGGACAGAAGGUGACCCCAGCAGCCACGCUGCAGGGCUGUGUUUAUCCAGCAGCAGUCAGCGCUUGAGCAGCCCCAGCUGUGAGCAGGGUAGACCACACCCAUCAAUGGAAGAAGCAUCCAAAACCUGGCUAGGGUUUGUGGAGGAGGUGGUGGGUGCUGGAUACAAAGGGGAUUCCAAGAACAUGGGUGCUGCUCACCUGUCCUUGAAAGGUUGAGAAGAGCAUUCAUGACUUGAGCUGUCCAAGUAAGGCGCCAAGAAGGAACUAUCCAAAUGAUGGCUAUAAACGGACAGAAGAAAAGAACAGAUCUUCAUUAAAUCAUUACUCCACAGUUUUCCCAUACUGAACCAUUUCUGGAAAUGUUUAUAGGUACACAAAAUAAGGCAAUAAAAUGCUCUUAUCAAUGAUACUUCAAACAAUGUGAUGUUACCUCAUGGUGACAAUCCAGGAGGAAUUAUACAAUUAGAACUUUCCAUUUGCUUUCAUUCUAGACAAAAGUUUACUGUGUCUUAGUCCAUUUGUGCUGCUGGGACCAGAAAAACCAUAGAUCGGGACACAACACUUGUUUCCUCCGGAGGGACCAGCAGCCAGGUGCCAUCUUGGAAGCAGUGAGCAGGCUCUCAGCAGACACCGAACCCACGAGUGCCCUGGUCUUGGACUUCCACCCUCUAGAACUCCCAGGGUAACCAGCAGCUGAAAUCACAAGAACUUAUCUACCACCCCACAACAUAAUUUACUUCAUUAGAAAGUUUUCCACAAGCUGGCAUUGGAAACAUAGGCUUCUAGAAGUGAAAGAAAUCAAUUUAUCCCCUGCUCUGAGCCAUCCUGCCUUAUGUGGCUGAUUUCUAAACCACCACACAGGCCUUGUUACAUUCUCCCCACCGAGCAUUCUUCCAACUUGUGUAUAAUAAGGAGAUGAAGUUGAAAGAAGACAUCAAUGAACAUAGUAGUUUUUUUAAUCUAAAAAAUACAAACAGGCUUUAAAAGACCAUAUGUAAGUCUUCUUUAGUUUCCAAACCACAAUAGAUGUACUAGGCAUGAUUAUUCUAAGGUCCCUGCAAUAAAUGAAAUCCGAGGUAGUUCCAACAAAUGAUGAAUUCAUGGUGGAAAAAUAAUUUCACUCAUUUGCUGUCUUAUCGUAGGUUUUGUUUUCUCUCCAAAAAAUACAUAGUUGGGGUGAGGGGGCAAUACAGAAAAAAAAGAAACGGGGGAUGAUUGCAAUGUUUACAAAGCAAAAAGGAAAUUAUUUGGUUCUGUGAAUGCAAAAUGUUUUGACAGUAUUUCCGAUUUUUCAGGACAUCUGGUGUAGAUGAUAUCAAGGGCAUUAGAAGUAAAUAGCUAAAUUCUGUUAUUAGUUCUGUUACUAUUCUACCAUAUGGAAAUAGUUUUAUUUUUCCCCUCAUUUUAAUUCAUUGUUGACUUGGGAGAGAAAAAAUCCAAUUAAAAAUGACGUGUGAACUGCUUGUCAUCCAACUCUUGGUUGCCUAACAUUGUGGCCUAUUUUUUGUAUAGAGACCCAGUUCUUGAAUUAGCCUCUAUAAAUAUGUUUCCAUGUAUUGGCUUGAAUUUUGUAUAGAAAUCAGAGUUGUAAAAAAUUAAAGGUCUGGAAAACUCAGUCUUGUUAAAAUGUCAAUUCACUCCAAAUUAAUUUAUGUAUAGGUUCAGUGCAAACCUAAUAAAAAUCUUAGUAAGUUGUUUUGUGGAUAAUGACAAGCUGAUUCUAAAACUCAUAUUUAAAAGCAAAGAAACCUCAAUAGCCAAAGCAAUUUUGAUAAAGUAACAAAGAUAGAACCCUCACACUACAUAAUUUCAAGACUUACUGUGAAGCCACAUUAAUCAAGACAGUAUGGUGUUGGUGAACGCAUGAAUCAAACUGAUGGGGUCUAGACUCAAUGACUUCCCAAUAAUAAUGAACAAACCUACAGCCCAGAUAUCUGUUUCUAAAUGCCAUUUUACAAUAGAAGAAACCAGACCUCCUUGUAGAAUUAGUUGAAUCCCAGGAUGGGACAGGGAAAACUUAAGAUAAGCCUAGAGCAUCUAGUGGUGCCAGAAAGUAAGGAAGUGCUCAAAACAGAAUGGGGGCAUGUCCAAAGCUCACAGGAGCCAACAUGAAAGAGCUCCCAAUGUCCCAAGUUUGAGCAAGUUAAUGAUAGAUUAUUUUUAUCAAGAGAAUACAAUAAGCAUCCAUGAGUCUAUGACAUAAAGAAAUGAAUGAAUGAAUGAAUGGGAGAUAACAGCUCUCCCAAUGAAUAAAUGUAGAAAGAAGAUGGAAAUAUGAAUUCACCAAUAGAAUACCACAGUAAUAAUUGUUGCAGGCAAGAUGUACCAACGAAAGCCAAAAUUCGUGGGUAAAACUUUGAGGAUAAAGAUUAUAUGUGCCUAGUGCAAAAUUAUCUCCUUCAAGAUACCCAUUAAUUGCUAAAGGAAAAAUAGUAAUUUUAAAAAUGGAAACACCUGGCAGAUGCCAUCUCAGCCAAGUGAUCAAGAUUAACAUCACCAGUAAAAAGACAUACUGACAUCCCAUACUUCCUGAUUUGAUACACUAAGAAGGGCUUAUCAUUUCUGUGGUACUCUUGGCCAACAAUGUGCAAGUAACAUUUAUUCAUUGAAACACAUUAGGCAGAACCAAAUUGCAGGACAUUCCUCAAAAUAGCUGUGCAAUACUCUUCAAAAGUAUCAGGUCCUGGAAGACAAAGAGAUACUGAGGAACCAUCACAGAGUGGGAGAGGACAUGGAGAUAUAAAAACUUUAACUGUAAUGUGGAAUCCUACAUUGGAUCAUGGACCCGAAAGAGAACACUGAUGGGAAGACUGAUGAAAUCUGAGUAAGUCUGUAGUUUGGUUUAAAGAAUAAUAACAAUAACGGUUUACGUGCUGACUCCUUAAUAAAAUUCCCCUAGUUACUGUAAUGUCUAAAAAUGAAGCCCCCAUGGUGGGCUACUGUGACUAUUCACUGCAUUUAAGAAUAAAGAAUAAUUAAGGAUGUGUGAAUAGAUGGUAAUAAGUUAAUAACUCAGAUGGUGCUGCUAAUACAUAACAACCCAAGGGGACAGCAUCAUGUAACGAAAAUAUUUUCACACUUCAUAAUCUAUUGAACUCCUCUGUGUUUCUCUCUGGCCUCCCAAUCUGUUGUUCUCUCUCUUUUUCUUUCCAUCUGUCUCUUUCUUUCUCUCCCCCUCUACUUUUACUCAUACCUCUGCAUUAUGUUCAUAUACAGGAUAGAACUGAAGUAUAUUUUUAAGUAACUGAUAUUGUUAUCAAGUCCCAGAGCUUCUCUAUUGAAGCUUUUAAAGAGUUUCUGUCUUCCAAAAUAAAAAGCUAAAGCUGCAUUGUGGUGAUUGUUCUUCCAUGUAAGUCUUAAAUUGACAUAGCACGUGUGAGAUUACUGGCUCUUGGUAGGAAAUGUUUUCUUCUCUAUGGCAAAAAUCUUAGAAGUCCAUUCAGAAUGAUGCUGUCAGAAUGUAUUUUCAUGGGAUGCUUUGAAAUAGACAAAAAAAAAACUAACAGCACACAGCACACAAAGAUUUUAUUCUUUAACAUUGUAAAUCAACUCAGUUUUUACCUUCUUGUUCAUAAUCAUGGUGCAAUGUAAUACAAUAUAUAGAUGGCCAGUUAAAAUAGGAGUAAUUUCAAAAUUUGAUCAUUCUUUUUCAUAGAAGAGUACAAUUUUUACUUGCAAAAAAAGAGUUAAUCAAAUUUUGUUACAUUUCCUUCUCCAUCUCCACUACAUUUUCAGAAAAAAAAACAAAUUAUAUUGAUUGUUAAUAUGGUACAGAUUAGAGAGACAAGAGGUGCUCCUUGAGUUAGCUACCCCAUAAUUUAUUAAAAAAUUAAUUUCAAAUGGAGCUUGAGCACUUUCAAAAUCUGGCUGUCAUCCUAAACACCUUCUCCGGGGGAUGCAAACUGUUAUUUUUGUUUUAUUUUGCUAUUAAUUUCCUUAGUUGAAUUACCUCUAAUUUAGCUCAGAGAGAGUCUGAUCAAAAAAGAUCAUAAAGAUGAAGAAAGAUAGGAACCUAUGCUUAGAAAGUGAAAUCAAAUACUAUAUAGCAUUUCUCAAAUAUAUUAGUAUUAGGUUUCCUAAUCUAUUUUUCAUUCAUUUCCCAAUUCUGCUUAUAUCUAGCCCUGGACAGAAGUGAACACCAAAUAUAGGAAAAGAGAGUAAACUCCAGGUGUGUGCACGUAAGUAUGCAUGUGUUGUGUGCAUGGGUUGGAGGAGUGAAGCCUGGACUACAGAAAUAUUAUUCUAUAUUUAGAAUAGCAGGCUGAUUGAAAUACCCCAGCUUUGUGCAGAGCUCUCAACUACAGUUUGCACUAAGGAACAACCAAAAUAACUAGACACUGGAGGAAAUCUGAAAUGGGAAACAGAAAGCUCAAGAUACAAACUUCUAUCCCAUAGCAAAGAGAGAUAAUUCCAGUAACUUAAGGACACUUCAACCCUCCAAUUAGUCCCUCCGAAAAAUACAAAAAGAUUUUUUGCAUUCAUAAAGCAAGAAUAGGUGAGCUUUCACAAAAUCAAGUUUGCUCAGAUUCUAAAAGGUUCAAAUGAAGAGUUGGAAAAUACAUUUAAGGGAAUCUAUAAGAACAACAAAAAAAAAACCCUGAGACCAUGAUUAUGGAAGACAUGAUAAGGGACAUAGAGAUGAAAUCAGAAGGUCUCCAGCAAAAACGGGUGGCUGCCUACUCAACAUCAACUCUCUGCUUCCUUCUUAUUAAUAUUCAGGAACUUCUGAUGGUUUCUCCUUAUCCCCUUCACCCUUCCCUCCACUCUCUGACUGAGCCACAGGAAGCACAGAUGGAGAAAGAACAACCAGGUUGGGAUCUGAGGGUGAAAGCUACAUGCUAAAGGUGAUGACUCCGGAAGAGGGACUGACCCUGGAUUUUUACAACAUCAUGGAAUUGCCACACCAGACCAAGACUUCUCCCCUAUAGGUUUCUAAUUACAUGAAAAUUUAAAACCAUAUUUUGUUGAAUGAGCCACUUCAGUCAUAUUUCUGUUUAUCUGGAAGCAGAAAUAAUGGUAUCUAGAAUAAUCAGAUAUUAUCUUAAAAUAAUACCAUCUAAUACAACAUUCAAGAUCCAACUAAUAGAAAAGAAUAAAGAAGGAAGAAAAGGGGGAAGAGAGGGAGAGAGGAAAUAGAUGAGGGAGUCCCAAAGAACAAUAAAAACAAUUUCCAAAAGAUAAAGGGAUGCAAUUGUCUUAUAUUUGGAAAACUGUCCCAAGGGCUGGCGCAGUUAAUCACAUCUCCAUAUUUUGUACAACAAGAAAACAAGACAUCAUCUUAAAAGGUCCCAGAGGGGGGGAAAAAAGCAAGUAAUACAGACAAAUAUAAAAAUAGAAUUGAAGAAAAAUUUUAAACUAGAAAUUUUAGCCAGAAUGUCUAAUAAAACAUUUUCAGACAUACAUGGAUUUAGAAAGUUUGUAUUUCCUAUAACCUUCCUUAGAAGUCACAUCAGAAUGUACUUCGGCAAAACAGUAUAAACCAAAAAAAAAAAAGGCAAUUCAAAAAAUAUUCAACAAAUCCAGAAAAGUAGUGAAAAACAGUUUUAUGUUGAUUGUUCUCUCAUUCUGCUGCAGAGCCAUCAGUCGCGAUUGAAGCACAGAAAUGAAAGGUAAUUAGAAACUCUUGGAUGGAAGAGAGUUACAAAAUACAGCUAUGAGAUAAAAAGUAAAAAUUAGAAUAGAAGGUCAGUGGGUUUUCAAAACAAAUAUAGUAGGUUCUAAGUGACAUUUUAUGUAACAAAUAACUUAGUGGAAUGGUAGAACAUUAUUUGGAAUAUGCUGGGGAUUGCAUAUAUGUUGCACUUCACAAAAAAUAAAAAAGACAACCAGAAUGCCAGAGAAUAAUUUUUUUAAACCCACCAAAAUGU